UUCGUGGCACGCGUCGCAACCGAGCUUCGUCCUCUCGUUAAUUGCAGUUAAUUAGAAUAGUUUAUUUAACGUGUACCAUUAUUUUACAUAUCGAUCGAAUGUCGAAAAAGCGAUAUCCGCGUGUGAAUUUAUUAACAUCGAUCACGCUCGACUACGAAAUAAAACUUAUUCUACUGCGUUCCUUAACAUAACAUAACCAUACAGGCCAUCGUUAUUUUUCAUUAUAGAAUGGGAGAGGUACGACGUCUGGAUUUUCGUCUUUAAUUUUACUUAUUUACAAUAAGAAAUGGUGUUGGACACAGGACGAUGAGUGAUCGAAACAACAAACACGUGGGGAAGCCAUUGUAAAGAUGACGUAACGCGUACGCGGGACGGUCCAUAGCUUCCUUCCUGCCGCUUAAUCCGCCAUUCCGAAUUAGUUCGUGGCACGCGUCGCAACCGAGCUUCGUCCUCUCGUUAAUUGCAGUUAAUUGGAAUAUUUUAUCUAACGUACGUUCUAAUUUUGUAUAUCGAUCGAACGUCGAAAACACUAUUUCCACGGGUGAAUUUAUUAACAUCGAUCACGCUCAACUACGAAAUAUAUUCUACUGCGUUCCUUAACCUAACAACCAUACAAGCCAUCGUUAUUUUCGAUGAUAGAAUGCGAGAGGUACGACGUCUGGAUUUUCGUCAUCAAUUUUACUUAUUUACAAUAAUAAAUGGUGUUCGACAUAUAACGACGACUGAAUGGGAGAGGUACGACGUCUGGAUUUUCGUCUUCAAUUUUACUUAUUUACAAUGAGAAAUGGUGUUGGACACAUGACGACGAGUGAUCGAAACAACAAGCACGUGGGGAAGCCAUUGCAAAGCUGACGUAACGCGCAUGCGCGACGAUACAGCUUCCUUGUUGCCGCUUAAUCCGCCAUUCUGAAUCAGUUCGUGGCACGUGUUCCAACCAAGCUUCGUCCUCUCGUUAAUUGCAGGAUGGAAGAGGUACGAUGUUCGGAUUAUCAAUUUUACUUACGUACGAUAAGAAGUGAUAUUCGAUACAGGACGACGAGUGGGCGUAGAUUCUGUAAAUUUGUUCGUCAGCGUUAACAACACAGUGUGGCCCAUGUUCCUAGAAAGAAGCAAGAAUGAUUUGGCUAGAGUUCAACAGAGUAGACGUCUUCCGUUUAAGUUUAUACAUUCAUUCUUCGAUUAAGCAGUGUUCUUUCAGCGAAACUUCUUUUAGUAAUUUGCCGUCAGAGUAUAUUUUUUGUUCGAUUGUACAUUUUUUGGGAAGUGCGUUUUAUAUACGUGGAAUAGUUGAUAAUUCGGAAUUCAUUCAAAUUGAUUAACGUUGAUGUAACAUUUCUUUAAUUUUACAUUAGUGGAUUUUACAUGGAUUCUUUCAACCUUCAUCGUCGUCAUGUGAUUAAUAAUCGACAUCAUCAGGAUAGGGAGGAGUUGUGCACGGUCGUCACCGCGCAGUUGAAUCUUUCUAGACGCAACCCACUUUUUAUCGAGCACUUGUUUAUGGUCGAGAUUUGUCUCGUACCAUUUUCUGUGCAUUUACGCUGGUUGCUCUGCCUUCGUCCAGCAUUAUAAAAUAACCGAGGACAUUCUACUCUCCUCCUUAUUUUUUAGACCUGCUUCAGAUGUCGUUAAUUGAUCUCACGUCGAGGACGAUCGAUGGGAAAAUCUAUGUACGCGAACGCGCUUAAUCUACAUUAUUUUAACGAGUCGACGUCCGUCUUGGAAUAUCACUGCGAAAUAAAAAUUGUAGACUUUUCGUUGAUAGUACAUGACAGAACGAAUACUGCUUAAAUCACGGAGUGGAUGUAUCAUUCGACGGAUCGUUUCCUGAUUGCUGUAAUGCGGUUGACAGUUCUUUAGCCAUCGAAAUGUUACAAGCACGUGGGGAAGCCAUUGCAAAGGUGACGUAAUGCGCAAGCGCAGCGGUCCACAGCCUCCUUGCUGCCUCAGAAUCCACCAUUUUGAAUAAUGAUUGGCACGUGUUAUGAUCAAGCUUUUUUCUUGCAGGGCGUAGAUUCUGUAAAUUUGUUCGUCAGCGUUAACAACACAGUGUGGCCCAUGUUCCUAGAAAGAAGCAAGAUUGAUUUGGCUAGAGUUCAACAAAGUAGACGUCUUCCGUUUAAGUUUAUACAUUCAUUCUUCGAUUAAGCAGUGUUCUUUCAGCGAAACUUCUUUUAGUAAUUUGCCGUCAGAGUAUAUUUUUUGUUCGAUUGUACAUUUUUUGGGAAGUGCGUUUUAUAUACGUGGAAUAGUUGAUAAUUCGGAAUUCAUUCAAAUUGAUUAACGUUGAUGUAACAUUAUUUCUUUAAUUUUACAUUAGUGGAUUUUAUAUGGAUUCUUUCAACCUUCAUCGUCGUCAUGUGAUUAAUAAUCGACAUCAUCAGGAUAGGGAGGAGUUGUGCACGGUCGUCACCGCGCAGUUGAAUCUUUCUAGACGCAACCCACUUUUUAUCGAGCACUUGUUUAUGGUCGAGAUUUGUCUCGUACCAUUUUCUGUGCAUUUACGCUGGUUGCUCUGCCUUCGUCCAGCAUUAUAAAAUAACCGAGGACAUUCUACUCUCCUCCUUAUUUUUUAGACCUGCUUCAGAUGUCGUUAAUUGAUCUCACGUCGAGGACGAUCGAUGGGAAAAUCUAUGUACGCGAACGCGCUUAAUCUACAUUAUUUUAACGAGUCGACGUCCGUCUUGGAAUAUCACUGCGAAAUAAAAAUUGUAGACUUUUCGUUGAUAGUACAUGACAGAACGAAUACUGCUUAAAUCACGGAGUGGAUGUAUCAUUCGACGGAUCGUUUCCUGAUUGCUGUAAUGCGGUUGACAGUUCUUUAGCCCACGUGGGGAAGCCAUUGCAAAGGUGACGUAAUGCGCAAGCGCGGCGGUCCACAGCCCCCUUACUGCCUCAGAAUCCUCGUUGAUUGCAGAAUGGAAGAGGUAGGACGUCCAGAUUUUCGUCAUCAAUUUUACUUAUUUACAAUAAUAAAUGGUGUUCGACACACAACAACGACUGGAUGUAGACGUGAUUUCUUUCGUUAUUGUUGACAUUACAUCGUGGCUAGUUUUCUUAAAAAUAAGCAAGAUGAAUUUAGUUACAUUCGAACAGAAUUGACAUCUUGACAGUACGAACGCUACUUACAUCGUGGAAGGAAGCGUUCCUUGAUCUAACAACCAGCUAAGGAAUCAUUAUUUUCGAUGAUAGAAAGAAAGAAAUAUAAAGUUCAAAAUUUUCGUCAUCAGUUUUACUUAUCUAUGAUAAGCAAUGGUAUUGGACACAGGACGACAACUGAUAAGCAAUAGUUGACAUAUAUUAUUAUUUAUUUUCACGUUACCCUUUACGAUAACGUUUAGCUAAUUCUACAUUUAUUUUUUCAGGUUAUAGGCAUUGCGAUUUCGUCCGUUAUUGUUAACAAUGCAUCGUGGCCCGUGUUCCUUGAAAUAAGCAUGGUGAAUUUAGUUACAGUCGAACAGAAUUGACAUCUGUUUACACAUUCAUUCUUCGAUUAAACAGUGUUCUGUUAACGAUACUUUUACAUCCGAGUAUAUUUUUCUUCCGAUUACAUUUUUCAUUUAAUAUACAUCGAGUAGCUGAUAAUUCAAAGUUUAUUCAAGUUGGAUAACGUUAUCGUAACUUCAUUCCUUUAAUCGAUGAAAAAAUCUAUUUAAGCGAACGCGUCUUAAAUAACACUAUUUCAACGAAUCAUAUGGUCUCUCUUGAAAUAUCGCUGCGAAAUAGAAACGAUAGGCUUUUCGUCGAUAGUAUACGACAGAACGAACACUGUUUAAAUCGAAAUAUAUGUGUUAAUUGGGUCGUGGAUUCCCGGAUAGCAGUUCCUAAGUAUCACGCUCGUUAGAGCAAGAUGGUUCUUUAUUCUCUUGUCUGAUGAGGAAUACUUAACAUUUUGAUAUUUUUAUUAUAACACUAUUUUUAUUAACUUUGUUAAUUUUUUUUUUUUUUUUUUCUUUUAGGAAGCCUAUGUUGUAAUUUCGUUCUACUGUUUGGAUACGGAUAAAAGAACAAUUCAACGCUCUAGUUGGAAAUGGUCUUUGUAAAAUUGCGACUCAUGGAAAGCCUCCUUCCUCUAGGAUCUAUCAUGAAUAUGAAGAUGAGAAAGGAAAGGAAAGGAGCCAGGAAGAUGCGAUGGAAGCAAUAACGAAGGAUGGAAUCUUGAAGAAUCUUCCAUUGGAUUAAAAUCAGCAGGAAAACAACGCUUCCUUCAUUUUACCGAACCGAAAGAAGACUCGCCUCUCCUUCGUGCGUAUUGCUUCUUUAAAUCUGCUUAAGCUCCAACGUUCUACGUAAUUCUCGGCGAUUUUGCGCACCCCUAAGCGUUUCUGCGUGACACCCUAAGCGAUCCUGCGAUACCCUAAGCGUUUCUGCGAUACCCUGAGCGUUUCUGCGAUACCCUGAGCGUUUCUGCGAUACCCUGAGCGUUUCUGCGACACCCUGAGGGUUUCUGCGACACCCUGAGCGUUUCUGCGAUACCCUGAGCGUUUCUGCGACACCCUGAGGGUUUCUGCGACACCCUGAGCGUUUCUGCGACACCCCCGAGCGUUUCUGCGACACCCCCGAGCGUUUCUGCGACACCCCCGAGCGUUUCUGCGACACCCCCGAGCGUUUCUGCGACACCCCCGAGCGUUUCUGCGACACCCCGAGCGUUUCUGCGACACCCCGAGCGUUUCUGCGACACCCCGAGCGUUUCUGCGACACCCCGAGCGUUUCUGCGACACCCUGAGCGUUUCUGCGACACCCUCAGCGUACCUGCGCAAUCCCUAACGUCGUAUUCUGUUCAAUUCUCAGCGUUUUGCGUAACCACCAGCAUUUCAAACGAUUCCCCUGCUUUAGUCUUGCGCAUAAUUGCGAUGUUUUACGAAAAAUUACAAGAUAGAAACAAAUUUGUUAGAAUCAUUGUUAUAAUAUUGUUGGAGUUUAUAGAGCGUUGAAAAAAUGAAACUUCAAUUGGAAGGUAGUACAUCAGUUGAUUUUUUCUUUCCGGAAUGUUAACAUAAAAUUGUUUUAUACUUCACAAGAUAUUACGUGCGGUGCAACGUUUAAGCGGUUGUAUUAUUGUUUAAAUCUUAUUUUAUAUCGACCAAUCGUAUAUUAUAGAUUCUUUAAAUAAUUGUAAAGUGAUAGAAAGCAUACAUAAACUUGGGUGCGUUAAGAAAACUAUUAUUUAAGUAUAAUUUUAUAUCGAACAAACGUAUAUUGUAAACCGUUUAAAUAAUUAUAUAGUGAUAAGAAGCGUAUAUAAACAAUGGUGCGUUGAGAAAAAUAUUUAAAUAUAAUUUUAACUCGAGUAAACGUAUAGUAUAGAAUGUUCAAAUAAUUAGUUAAACUAAUAGAAAGUAUACAUAAAUUCUGAUGCGUUGAGAGAAUUAUCGUUUAAUUAUAAUUUUAUACCGAACAAACGUAUAUUGUAAAAUUGUUUAAAUAAUUGUAAAGUGAUAGAAAGCAUACAUAAAUUUGAUGCAUUAAGAGAAUUUUAGACCACCGUUGGGCGUAUCGAAAACCGUCGUCCAGUAUUUAUCCGUAACAACAAACAUCUUUUUAGACAAUUCUUAGGAUAUCGCGUGACCCCAGCUUCGCGAAUAAUUGAAAUGCUCAUAUACUAAAAAAGAAAAAAUAUUAUUUUUAUCAUUGUAAUAAGAAAGCGUCGAAAAAAAGGAAGGCAGUAUGUAAGCAGAUUUCUGUUCUGCGAAACGUUCGAUUAAAAUUAUUUUCUACGUACUACGAGCGGUAUAAAGCUUGAGCGGCGGGGUUGUAUUCUGUAAAUAUUAGUUUGAUACUACCGAGCGUACAUAUGUAGCGUACAUUGCUUAAAUGAUUGUAAAACUACAAAAAAUAAAAAUGAUCUAGGUUUAGCGCGGUUCAACGCGGUCCAACGCGUGUACCGGAAAUUUUAGGGCAUGGUAGAGCGUUUCAACUACCGUGAAUCCAUUCGUGCGUAAUUAAGCGUGUUGCGUAAUUCCGAACAGAUUGGCGUAACCCUUAGAAAUAUUGCGUAAACCCCUAACCCUUAUUUAGGUAAAUUCUCUGGCUCUGCCAGACGCAACGCAGCGAUUUCGCCCACUACGUGGUUUGGCGUAAGUAUCCAUUUGGCAAGGUAUGGUUUUUUUACACGUAAGUCCUAUCGAUUUUUCGUAACGUCCGACGUGGACACCCAGAGUUUUGUCUUUUUCAGGUUAUCUGCAACCUCGGAGUUAUUCAUUUACCUACAUACUAUCGAGAUUACUGAAGCGAUGGUAUUUUUUUGCAUAAUGUUAAGGGCAUUGCGUCGUUUUGAACGAAUGCGCGUAAUCAGUAGUUUCUUUUUUUUUUUGUAUGAAGCCCACCGUAUCUAUAUAAUCCUUACAAAUUUUGUGUAAACCUUUGCGUGUAUUCAGCCGAACUUCUGUGGUCUAACUUCGGUGUAAUCCAGACGCGACCCAACGAUUUGCAGUAAGUAUUUUUCUCACUUAAAUGCCUUUAUGUUCGUUCCGUAAUUCUACGCGUGUUGCGUAAAUUGCAUAGUAUCUGCAACCCGCAGCUCAUUUUCCUAGGUACCAGCGGAGUUAUUUAAACUGCGGCAUUUUUUUUUUUCAUAGUUCGGGAUAUUUUCGUUUUAUCCGAAGAAUCCGCGUUUUUAUAUAGCCUAACGUCUCUGUGUAAACCGUGGCGUGUAUUUAGCUUCAUUUUAGCGUGUCUACUUAACUCUAACGUUUCCACAUUAUCACUUAGUUAUCGACCGUAUUUUUUUUUUUAACGUGAUCUCUAUUCGUCGCGUAAUUCUUCGCGUAUAUAGUAAUUUGGAAGGUAUUUAGAGCCCUAGCUUAUUUUCCAUGAUACUUGAUGGGUUACUUACCAGACAGAAUAUUUGCAUAGUCCCAGGAGUACUUCCGAUGAAUCGUUGCAAUGUCCAACUUCUUUACAACGCCAAGCGAUUUUGCGAAACCUUUGCACGAUUUGAAAGCCCUAGUGUAACGUAACGUAGCGUAACGUAUUUUUACAUAACGAUCCCGAGAUUUGUCGAAAGUACUUGUUUUUUCUUUUUUCAUAAUGGUUGUCGGAGGUUUUUCUUUUUGACAUUCUUAACAGCUGCGUUAUUCGUAGAAUACUCUAAGCAGCUUAUUUUCGUAGAUACUAGCUAGGUUAUUGAAACGACAGCAUUUUUUCUUUUUUUCUUUUUUAUAAUUCGUAGGGCACUCGUUAGAUCCGACGAAUCUGCCUAAAUACUAGGAUUUUACUCGUAGAUGACCGUGUACUUUCAUGUGUAUCUGCAACUAUCAGCUUAUUAAUCGAAGAUAUUACCGAGGUUAUAUGAUCGACUGUAUUUAUUUUGCGUAAUCUGUGGGGCACUCGCGUUAUUUCCGAAGAAUCUGCGUAAAUACUAGGGUUUUCAGGAAAUGCAGCGUUUCUGUGUAAUCCUUGUAGAUUUGGCGUCGGUAAUAGGGCGUAUUUAGGUAGCCUCCGAGAGUGCGGCGUAAUCCGAUUGUUUCCGCGUUACCACCCUGUGAUUUCGCGUAAGUACUUGCAUUUAUACGUAAUACUUGUGUAAAUUCCUGUCGGUUUUCGAUAACUCGUGGAUGACCGUGUAGUUCCCGUGUAUUUACAACUGUCGGCUUAUUAAUCGAAGAUAUUACCGAGGUUAUAUGAUCGACUGCAUUUUUUUUUGCAUAAUCUGUGGGGCACUCGCGUUAUUUCCGACGAAUCUGCGUAAAUACUAGGGUUUUCAGGAAAUGCAGCGUUUCUGUGUAAUCCUUGUAGAUUUGGCGUCGGUAAUAGGGCGUAUUUAGGUGGCCUCCGAGAAUGCGGCGUAAUCCGAUUGUUUCCGCGUUACCACCCUGUGAUUUCGCGUAAGUACUUGCAUUUAUACGUAACACUUGUGUAAAUUCCUGUCGGUUUUUCGAUAACUCGUAGAUGACGUGUAGUUCCCGUGUAUUUACAACUGUCGGCUUAUUAAUCGAAGAUAUUACCGAGGUUAUAUGAUCGACUGCAUUUUUUUUGCAUAAUCUGUGGGGCACUCCCGUUAUUUCCGACGAAUCUGCGUAAAUACUAGGGUUUUCAGGAAAUUCAGCGUUUCUGUGUAAUCCUUGUAGAUUUGGCGUCGGUAAUAGGGCGUAUUUAGGUGGCCUCCGAGAAUGCGGCGUAAUCCGAUUGUUUCCGCAUUACCACCCUGUGAUUUCGCAUUUGGCGUCGGUAAUAGGGCGUAUUUAGGUGGCCUCCGAGAAUGCGGCGUAAUCCGAUUGUUUCCGCAUUACCACCCUGUGAUUUCGCGUAAGUACUUGCCUUUGUACGUAAUACUUGUGUAAAUUCCUGUCGGUUUUCGAUAACUCGUAGAUGACCGUGUAGUUCCCGUGUAUUUACAACUGUCGGCUUAUUAAUCGAAGAUAUUACCGAGGUUAUUUAAUCGACUACAUUUUUUUUGCAUAAUCCGCGGGGCACUCGUUAUAUCCGACGAAUUUGCGUAACUACUAGCAUUUUCAUAAAGUCCGGCAUUUCUGCGUAACCUACAGAUUUUACAAAAAUCUAAGUACGCAAUCUACAGCGUGGGACAUAACCCCACUGUUUUCGCUUUACCAUCCGGUGAUUAGAAGUAUUUGUCCGUUUUCUUUUUAGGUAAUCCCUCGGUUUUUCAAUAGUUCCUAACGUACCGACGUAGUUCCUAGGUUUAUCAGCAAUACCCAGGUUAUUUUUUUAGAUACUAGCGAGGUUACUUAAACGACAUUUUUGGCCUCCGAGCUUUCUCCGUAAUCUCAUUUUUUUCCAGGAUAUCUGUAACGAUCAGCUUAUUAAUUCUAGAUAUUAACGAGGUUAUUUAGUCGAUAGCAUUUUUGAAUAGUCCCUGAGGCGGUUGCAUUAUUUACGUAGACUAUACGAACUACCAGCAUCUUUAUAAAGCUCAUCGUUUCUGGGUAACCCUUACAGAUUUUGGCUUAUCCGACUGGCGAUUUGAAGUAAGUAUUUGUGCUUUAUUUUUUAUUCUUAUGUAAUAUCUGUCUUCAAUAAUUAUUAAUAUACCGACGUAAUUUCUAGGUUAUCCGUAGUACCCAUCUUAUUUCCCUAGAUUCUAGAGAGGUUACUUAAACGACAACAUUGUUGUAUAAUCCCAGGGGCAUAUUCGUUAUUUCUUACGAAUCAAGUAACGACCAGCGUUUUCAUAAAGUGCAGCAUUUCUGUAUAUUCUCAUAGAUUUGUCGUCAAUCCCAGAACGUAUUUAGGUGGCCUCCGAGCGUCAGGCGUAACGUCAUAGUGUCUGCAUAAGCGAAUAAAUUUGUUUUUACCUAA